rnacentral:rRNA from 1 species
CAGCCGCCACGGUAAUACAGAGGGUGCGAGCGUUAAUCGGAUUUACUGGGCGUAAAGCGUGCGUAGGCGGCUUCUUAAGUCGGAUGUGAAAUCCCUGAGCUUAACUUAGGAAUUGCAUUCGAUACUGGGAAGCUAGAGUAUGGGAGAGGAUGGUAGAAUUCCAGGUGUAGCGGUGAAAUGCGUAGAUAUCUGGAGGAAUACCGAUGGCGAAGGCAGCCAUCUGGCCUAAUACUGACGCUGAGGUACGAAAGCAUGGGGAGCAAACAGGAUUAGAUACCCGUGUAGUCCCUGUCUCUUAUAC